rnacentral:rRNA from 1 species
UACGAAGGGAGCUAGCGUUGUUCGGAAUCACUGGGCGUAAAGCGCACGUAGGCGGAUGUGUCAGUCAGGGGUGAAAUCCCGGAGCUCAACUUCGGAACUGCCCUUGAUACAGCACAUCUGGAGUCCGGAAGAGGUGGGUGGAAUUCCUAGUGUAGAAGUGAAAUUCGUAGAUAUUAGGAAGAACACCGGUGGCGAAGGCGGCCCACUGGUCCGGUACUGACGCUGAGGUGCGAAAGCGUGGGGAGCAAACAGG